rnacentral:rRNA from 1 species
UACGAAGGGGGCUAGCGUUGUUCGGAAUUACUGGGCUUAAAGGGUGCGUAGGCGGCGCAGUAAGUUGGGUGUGAAAUCCCUCGCUUAACCGAGGAAUUGCGCCCAAAACUACUGUGCUCGAGGGAGGUAGAGGUGAGCGGAACUUAGGGUGGAGCGGUGAAAUGCGUUGAUAUCCUAAGGAACACCGGUGGCGAAAGCGGCUCACUGGACCUCUUCUGACGCUGAGGCACGAAAGCUAGGGUAGCAAACGGG